UUUCCUAGCCACCGACGCGGUUCUCUCUCACCCUUGUGUUCGCCGGAGCAACCCCCUCGGUGCCGGAUCCGAAAGAGAAAGGGAGGAGGAAACCGUGGAGGUGGAGGUGGAGGAACGAGAUGUUCUGUAUUCGUGGUUCCCCAUGUCGUCGUUGUGCAUUCACAUCCACUCCACGAUAACGGUGUUCACGCGUGUACCUUUGAGCAUUCCCUCCGAGGAUCCGCCGAUCGUCCUUUGUUCCGAAGAUGGCUGGUGGAGAAUUUCAGAUGAAUUUUAAGAAAGCUCGUGAGAAGGUGGCGGGUCCUUGAGUGCCGCAGAAGAAGAAGCCACGACGCCAGAAAACGAAAAUCGUCAGGCAGACUGGAAUGGCGAGCAACAGACCGACCAAUACGCCGAUCAGGAUCGUCGCGUCCCUUUCCGGUUUUGCAUUGUAUAAGUCCAAGCAACGCAAGCUUCGAUGGGAUAACGAAGACAAGUUCUUGCCAGCGUGUUCCGGCGGGAAAGUACAGGUAUAGUUUCAUUGGAAUUCGGUUUAAUGGAGAGAAUAUUUCAUACGAUAUAUUUGGCCAAAAAGAGCGAUGGAAGUGAUAUUUCAGAAAGAGGAUAGUUCGACUAGAUCGACCUGUAAAUCGAAGACUACCAGCAGAGGAACACUGACACUAAAAAUCAACAAUGCUACACGUAACAGAUUUUUCACCUCUGAUCUUCAAUUGGCAUCGAAGGAACGAUCGAUUGGUUGGAUGGAAAGUACGCGAUACAAAUGGAAGUGGAUUGUGCGUUUCGUGAUUGCCAGAACUUAC